rnacentral:tRNA from 1 species
UCAGGAGUAGCUCAGUGGUAGAGCAAUCGACUGUUAAUCGAUUGGUCGUGGGUUCGAGCCCCACCUCCUGAG